UACGGAGGGUGCGAGCGUUGUCCGGAAUCACUGGGCGUAAAGGGCGCGUAGGCGGCGCGGUUAGUCGGCGGUGAAAGCCCGAGGCUCAACUUCGGGUCGGCCGUCGAUACUGCUGCGCUGGAGCACUGUAGAGGCAGAUGGAAUUCCGGGUGUAGCGGUGGAAUGCGUAGAGAUCCGGAAGAACACCGGUGGCGAAGGCGGUCUGCUGGGCAGUUGCUGACGCUGAUGCGCGACAGCGUGGGGAGCAAACAGG
rnacentral:rRNA from 1 species